UACGAAGGGGGCUAGCGUUGCUCGGAAUCACUGGGCGUAAAGGGUGCGUAGGCGGGUCUUUAAGUCAGGGGUGAAAUCCUGGAGCUCAACUCCAGAACUGCCUUUGAUACUGGGGAUCUCGAGUCCGGAAGAGGUAAGUGGAACUCCGAGUGUAGAGGUGAAAUUCGUAGAUAUUCGGAAGAACACCAGUGGCGAAGGCGGCUACUGGUCCGGUACUGACGCUGAGGUGCGAAAGCGUGGGGAGCAAACAGGAUUGAGAAACCCCAGU
rnacentral:rRNA from 1 species